rnacentral:misc_RNA from 1 species
AUAUACUUAAUAUAAGUUAUUUCGAUUAGUAUAAAUUAAUGCAUGAGACUCUCGUAAUUAAUUAAAAUUUCUAUUUUGAUCGAAGUGCACUAAAUGUUGGUUUUUUGAAAGUUUUAUAUUCUUCAAAAUGUAUUAUAACAGAAGUCAUUCACCUGGCCCCUUCUUUGAGGGAAGAUGUAGUUCCGGAAGAGGGCAUUCCUAUAACAAUUACAUAAGCGAUAUAAUAAGUUCUUUGCCACCUAGAAAUCCAACAUUUCAGAGAGUUAUAAAUUCUGAUUUCGGGAGACAGGAACGUUCCAGAAGCCCAGUAAGGGAUUACACAGGAACAAGAUUGUCAAAUUUUAGGCCGAUAUCAGCAGCACUAUCUGGUGACACUUCGCCGGUUCUUCGGCGUAGAGAUUUUUCAACCGUCUCUUCGCAGGCGUUAAGCGAAUCUCGUUCUUCGCCCAUAAAUUGGCUAAAUUCUGAUGAUUACAGUUAUAAUAAUUCGAAACCAAGAAGUUAUUAUGAUUUCCCAAGUAGCAAUUCUCGAUAUAGUUCAUACACUUCCCCAAUUAGAAGGCCACAGAGGACUGAUUAUUCGGAUUACUUGCGACCUGUUUUACAGGCCAGACCCAUGUUAAAGAGCAAUUUUGUUCCUAGAUCCCGUGCUGAGCGAGAAAAUGCAGGUAUGCCAAUUGUACGUGAAAGAAAGCUAAUAAAAUUUCGUGAAAUUACCAACGAUAUUUUGAAUAAAGUUCGGCGAAAAAUAUCGUGGGACUUAGAUGAGGAAAUUGACUCGCCUUUAAUUAAUGAAAUGAGGAAAUUAAAUCCUGAACUAUCUGAUGACAAAAUAGUAAAUGAGAAAACUAGAAGUCGGGAAAGCAGUUUAACCAGAUUUGGUUCCCGAGACUAUUUAUCGAACACUCGUGGUUCAUCUCCUGCAGCUGGAUCUCCUAGAGCAUCAGCUUCUCGACGUUUAUCUGAUGAUCAUACUUUAGAGCCUAGGUCUCCUAGUUGUUCAAGACGCUUUUCUUCGCCGAAGACUACUAUAGCAAGAAGAGCAUCAAGGGAAAACAGUUUUGAUGCUUUAGAUUCUGCUAAAACAGCUCCGGAAUUUAGAGAUCCUCCCAUACCUCCCCCAAGAAAAAAAUCCUUUAGCUCAGCUCAUAAAGUUAAGAAGUCUCGAAAAUCAUCUCUUGAUGAUCUGGAUGAAAAGAGUUUGAAUCAUAGCAUAAUUGCAGAUGAAAUUAAAAGGCAACAGGGUGCUUCGAACCUCCAAAGGCUUCUUAGUUUGGCAGAUUCAUCGAAGGCCUUAGAACGUCCUGAAUCGAUAACACAAAACGAAGUAACAUGUUUAGAGCAUAGGCGGAGCAGUGAAGAUCAAAAAAGCAAUGAAGUUUCUCCCAGUGUUAAUUCCAAUUUAGUUUCUGCUGAUAGCACCGUCGAUAAUAUUCUAACUCAUCCUCGUAGACGUCGUCGUCUUCACUGCAUUUCCAAUGAUAGUUCCGAUCAGAACGUUGAAGAAAGCAGAUCUCGUUGUCGAAGUCGUGCUCGCAGUAGAGUUAGAGAUGACUCUUUACCACAAACUGUAUCAGCAGAAGUGACUGUGAAUGAUGUUUCUUACCCCAUAAAUAGAAUGCACAGGAAAUCUGUGAAAUAUAAAGCAGAUAAUUUAACACCUGUUCCUAUAUCCAAUGAAUCCGUGACCCCCUCCAUUCAGAAUUGUGAAGUUUCUCCUGUGAUAAAAGAUAUAAAAUCAUCUAUAACUAAUAAAAAAGACAACAGUCGUCAUCCAGGGUUAGAGGAUCUUAAACUUAAAACUAAUAUAAUUACUAUCUCAAAUAAGAUGGAUACAAAUUUAAAAAGCCCUGUAUCUCCUUUAAAUAACAAAAUGAACGCUGGUAAGGAACAUAAAUCGAAUGAUAAAAUUUUAGAUGUAAAGUCAACUGUAGAUAAGAAUCAAAAGGUAAUUAAUAAAUAUGAUUCACCGUUGAAUAGCACUUCUAACUUACACAAAAUAAAAAAUAAAAAGAUAACCACUGGCAGUAGUUAUGCCGAUGAAAUAGCGGAUAAAAAUAUUAUAGGGAAAUGUGAAGAGAAAAGUGAUAUGUCGGAAAGAACUAAAUUCCUGUCGAAAGCUGAAUCUAAUUUGGACAAAGUAAAUAACAAAAAAGUAGUUAACGCUUCUUUUAUUGAAGAAAAAAUUUCUCAUGAAGCUAAAAGAAAGGGACAAACGAGUCAUAAGCAACUUUUGCAAACCAAUAUUGAACCCAAAUUAACCAAAAUUAAGGAAAAGAAAAUUCCUCAUGCUUCUAUUUCUGAAAAAAGUGCUUCUAAAGAAACUGAAGGUAUUAUAAAAAGUAGUAAAACGAACACUAAUAAAAUUGCUACGCCUUUAGAUAGUCAGAGUAAAGAAUCUGAAGAAGUAAUCGUAGUAUGUAAACUGCCACAGCCGAAAGGAAAAGUCGAAAAAGCAAAAUUUCCGGGUCAUAAUGCCUCCAAUUUUUACAAAAACAUUCCUGUUGACCAAGACAUCGUUGUUUCUAUUGUGAAAAAAGACGAUGUUGUAGGAAGUGUGCAUAUUUGCGAGAAAAAUAAAUCGCGGCAUGAAAAUUCAUCUGCGGUAUUACCAAUCAUUCCAGUAAAGCAAGCAUUUCCGUUUUCGGAACCUAUACGUGAAUCCCAGUCAGGUUCCUCAGAAAUUUGUGAUAUUCAACCAAAAGCUAAAAAUUCCUCUUCUACUGCUGGGAGGAGAGACAAUGAAAAUAAUGAACUUCAUGUAACUCAUACCGUUGUUUUAAAACCCAAAAUUCAAAAGAAAGAUUUGUCGAAACAGGUAAAAUUCGAACCACAAAAAAAUAUUAGUGCUGUUCGAUUAAAUUCCAUUCCUGAUGUCAUUCAAACUACCAUUAAUGUAAAUAUGAGAUCUGAUGUGAAGCCAGAUAUUGCUAGUCAGGCGAAGCAAACGACAGUGCAUUCUAAUAUUCCUGAAGAUCAGUUAAAACCUGAUAAAUCUUUUGUAUUACCAAACAUUAAGGAGAACAUUGUUAAUAAUGAAGUUGUUUCAACUGCUGCGCCUAAAGAUAUUUCUAAUGAACCUAAUGAUCGAAAAUGUUUUAAAGGUUUGCCGAAUAUCACGAAAAGUGACAUUUCACUUAGUAAGGAAAGGAACCAUAAAGCUGCUGGUGCGUCUAUUCUGUCACAAGAUGUGGCAGUGGCAGACGCUGAAAGCGUUACUACUAAGACUAUUCUUCAGCCCUCUGUUUGCAAAACUCAUACGGACAAAGAUUUGGUCAAAAUGCAAAACACAAUUCUUACAAAACCAGAUAUCUUGACAUGUACGAAUGAAAGCAAAGCUUCACAGAAAGAUCAUGCUAUAGGAAGCAACGCUGCAGUACCUAAUAAAGAAAAGGAGGAACUACUAGAACAAAAUAAAACAGAAUGUCCCAAGUCCGACAAAAACAUUUCGAAGUCUUACAAUAAAGCGAGGGAAGAAACUCAUUUGAAGCUAACUCCAAACCUGGCUCGUAAAAAUGCUGAAAAUUCGAAAACUUGCUAUAAAAGAUCUGCUACUACGCCUGAUGUUAAUGCAGUCCUGGAAGAACGUCGUCCUAGCUAUUCAAAAAGCGAUUCAUUAUUGUCUGGGAAUACACAUGAUGAGAAGUCUUGCAAGAAAUUUGAUCAUGUGAUGCCGAAUUCUAAUGAUGCACCGACUGCGUUAUUGAGUAAAGAAGUUUCUUGUACUGAAAGUAAAGGAAAAGAUAACUUAAUUUCCCCUACUGACAUAAAAUUCGAUAAAAAUGGCAAAAUUCCAAUCUCUAGGCCAGAUGAUAAGCAUAUGGAGAGAAAUUCAGCUUUGGAAGAAUCUCGGAGAACUCAGAAUUUGCUUAAGCCCUCACUUGCUGUGGAAUCUAAAACUCUGACUGAAAAUGAGCCCCUUGUGAAACAAGAACAGAUCCUUAAAAAUCAUGUCGUGGAAAAUUCCUUAAAUAAAUUAUCGCCUGCCUCGAAAUACGAAGAAAUUUCGAAGGACGCUGAUUCGGUGAAGUCCGCAAAAGUAGAUGCUAAAGAAGGGAAAGUUUCAGAAAAUGCCGAGAGUGAGAUUAGGAAUAUAGCACAAAGAAUCGAUGAUUCUUCUGCCGUCAGAAUCAAAACUGUUUCAGCCACAACUAAGGAGAAUGUCUUUUCUUUAGUGAACUUACCUACUUGUGAAAUGCAAAGUAUAUGUCAAGAUGUAAAUUUCGACAAAAUUAAGUUAAGUAAAAAUUCAGCACCCACUUCUAAUAUACAGUUAGUUUCGGAUAAUAAAUCUGUUGAGAAAGAUGUGUCUGCUGUUAUACCACCGGUAUCAGAAAAACUGCACAGUGCUUUAAAGCCUGAAAAUGUAAGAGAUGAAGAUAUGAUCAAAAAAGUGCCUGAAACUAAUUCUUUGGAAAAUCUGAAAACCUCGUUUACACUGCAAUUAGCAUUUAAUGAAAGCAAUGUUGCAAGGACACUGGAUGUGGAUACAAAGUCAGAAGCACGUAAGCUGCCAGAAAGUUCGAAUACUGAUAUUAUGCAAGUCGGCAAUAAAAUAAGCAGUCAUUUAUUAAAAGAUGAAAAUUCGAAUCUUCUCAUAAGCAAAACUCUAGAAGGGGGUAUUCUUCAAGAAAUAUCAAAGCCUGACGUUAUAGGUAGUCAUAAAGAACUGAAAGAUGACGCCAUUCGUAACAAAGAACUUUCUACGGAAUUGACAUCCAAAGAGAAUAUCUGCACUGCUGGUUCUAAAUUACAUUCUUCACAUUUAAAUGAUUUCGAAGCAAAUAAUAUUGUUUUUCCUAAAUUAAGCUCUUCUUUUGAAUCAUCGCUUACAAAUAAACUUUCUGAUCAAGAGAAUUUACCUAACUCUAUAAGCAAGCAGACAGACACAAGAGAGAAAAAGGGAGAUAUAUUGAACUAUAGCAAAAUAAAUAAAGCGCGCAGUGCUGAUGACACUGAUUUCAAAUCGGAGGUUGAUCUUGAAAAGAAAAAGCUCGGAUCUGCAAACAUCAUACACCAAAGUUUUGCUGAAAGCCAGAAUAAUUUGAGUGACAGUAAAUCAUUCUUUCAUGUCCCAGAACCCAGUAUUAAGGGAGCAAAGUACUCAGUAAAUACAAACUCUUCAGUUGAGGCAGUGAACGAUUCAAUGAACUUUGGUAAAAAAGCAGUCAAAUGUCCACCAGAUUCCAAUUGUGGAAAUUUAACUGACAGAGAAAAUAAAGUAAUGUCAGAUGCAACAUCAGAAACUGAAGGAAAUAUCUCUAAUGGCAUUUCAAAAGACUCUAUAAUUUGCACUUCAGAUAACUAUAUGAAAAUAAAGAAAACUUUAUCUCAAAAGGGUGAGCUGGAAGCUUCAGAUUUAGUCAACUCUACCACUUCAGUUAGUAAUAAGAAGUUCCUAGAAAAAACAGAGACAGAAAGUGUAAAAAAGACUGAUGCAAAUGGCAAUGAAACUGAACUCAUAAAUGAAAAUUAUCCAAGUCUAACAAACAAGGCAAAAGAAGUGAAGCUGCUCCCUCGUAGUCCUCCACCAGUUCGAAUUGGAUUAUUUAUAAAAUCGGAUCCAGAACCAAUACCAGAAAGUUCCUCAUCCUCUGAAGAUUCUUCGGACUUGUCUGAUGAUGAUGACACUUCUGCAAUAAGGCAAUCAAGUGCACAACUGUCUAAUCACUGCGAAGCACAAGGAAAUGAAUGUAAUGUAACUUGUCACCAGAAGUGUGAAAGGCACAUGCCAAAUUUAUGCGGCGUCAACCAGAAACUGCUGUGUGAGGUUUUGGAAACAGUAAGGAAAGGAAAAUCUCCUGAUCGGGACGAAAAAUCUCGAACGAGAAGUCAGACAUCGAACGCCUCAAUAUAUUCAUCUCUUUCAUCGUCAACUACAUGCACUACUUUUUCGACAUCGUCUCUUGAAGAUGAGGGCAAAAGUCCAACAAAAGAAAGUACACCGAAAACGCUAAGGUUUCGAAAAUAUGAAAUAGAUGAUUUUGUGUUCCUCAAGUUACUAGGAAAAGGCAGUUUUGGUAAAGUGCUGCUUGCUGAGUUGAAGGGACAUGAUAUGUAUUUUGCCAUUAAAUGCCUGAAAAAAGAUGUUGUUUUGGAAGACGAUGAUGUAGAAAGUACUAUGAUAGAAAGGCGAGUUCUUGCUUUGGGUACUCAACAUCCUUACAUGUGCAAAUUGUAUUGUACUUUUCAAACUAAGAGUUAUCUGUUCUUUGUUAUGGAAUAUUUAAAUGGAGGUGAUCUGAUGUUUCAUAUACAGCAAAGUAAAAAGUUUCCUGAGCAAAGAGCCAUGUUUUAUGGCGCAGAAAUCGUGAGUGCUCUGAAAUUUCUACAUAAAAGAGGCAUUGUAUAUAGAGACAUCAAACUGGAUAACGUGAUGCUGGAUGAACAAGGUCACGUUCGUCUGGUGGAUUUUGGGAUGUGCCAGUGUCGUAUAUAUAAAGAGGAAUGUAUGCCGUUCAAUUUCUGCGGCACCCCUCAGUACAUUUGUCCUGAAAGAUAUCAAAUUGGACAACAUCUUGUUUGAUAAAGAAGGACACAUACAUCUUGUAGAUUUUGGCAUGUGCAAAACUGGCAUGUUUGAAAAUAAGAGAACGUCUACCUUCUGUGGAACACCUGACUACAUUCCACCAGAGGUGGGUAGAUAAUCCUUGGACAGAAGUAUAAUCAAUCUGUAGACUGGUGGUCUUUUGGAGUCCUUUUGUAUGAGAUGAUAACUGGGAGGUCUCCUUUUUAUGGUACUGAUGAAGAUGAGUUAUUUUGGAGUAUAUGUAAUGAGG